rnacentral:tRNA from 1 species
GCCGGGAUGGCGGAAUGGUAGACGCGGCGGACUCAAAAUCCGCUGAGUGAAAGCUCGUGGGGGUUCGAGUCCCCCUCCCGGUA